UUGCAUCGUAAAGCAAACAGUAAGCAUCAAGACAUUUCAGAGCAGAACAAGACAUUCAGUCUUAUGUUUGAAGGUGGAGCUGUAAGCAUCAAGACAUUUCAGAGCAGAACAAGACAUUCAGUCUUAUGUUUGAAGGUGGAGCUGUAAGCAUCAAGACAUUUCAGAGCAGAACAAAACAUUCAGUCUUAUGUUUGAAGGUGGAGCUGUAAGCAUCAAGACAUUUCAGAGCAGAACAAGACAUUCAGUCUUGUGUUUGAAGGUGGAGCUGUAAGCAUCAAGACAUUUCAGAGCAGAACAAGACAUUCAGUCUUAUGUUUGAAGGUGGAGCUGUAAGCAUCAAGACAUUUCAGAGCAGAACAAGACAUUCAGUCUUAUGUUUGAAGGUGGAGCUGUAAGCAUCAAGACAUUUCAGAGCAGAACAAGACAUUCAGUCUUAUGUUUGAAGGUGGAGCUGUAAGCAUCAAGACAUUUCAGAGCAGAACAAAACAUUCAGUCUUAUGUUUGAAGGUGGAGCUGUAAGCAUCACUGUACAGAGCAGAACAAGACAUUCAGUCUUAUGUUUGAAGGUGGAGCUGUAAGCAUCAAGACAUUUCAGAGCAGAACAAGACAUUCAGUCUUAUGUUUGAAGGUGGAGCUGUAAGCAUCAAGACAUUUCAGAGCAGAACAAAACAUUCAGUCUUAUGUUUGAAGGUGGAGCUGUAAGCAUCACUGUACAGAGCAUAUGAAUACAGAGGGGCUUGUUCAUAUCAAAGGUCUCAGAGUAGCUCAGGUCCCUCCUGUCCAUAACAGCUUAUUAAGUGUGAUCUGAAAGGCAAUAUAGAUCCUAAAAUGGUACUCCUACUCCGACAACUUUGAUACAUAUGGACCAAAACGGAGGAAAAGGAGAGACAGAAACCUGUAUGGUUUCACAGGUAAUGAUGCCAACUAUGAAAUGGACCUCAGUGGAGAUAUUAUAGAUAUAGAGCAGACCAGUUAUGAUCUAAUAAUAAUAAGUCAUUUAGCAGACGCUUUUAUCCAAAGUGACUUACAGUAAUAUGUACAUACAUUUUAUGUAUGGGUGGUCCCGGGAAUUGAACCAUGGCCGUGCAAAGCACCAUGUAAUACCAGCUGAACCAUAUAGGACCAGGAUACAGUUAUAUUAUCCAGGUCAUGAGAUAAUACCAGCUGAACCAUAUAGGACCAGGAUACAGUUAUAUUAUCCAGGUCAUGAGAUAAUACCAGCUGAACCAUAUAGGACCAGGAUACAGUUAUAUUAUCCAGGUCAUGAGAUAAUACCAGCUGAACCAUAUAGGACCAGGAUACAGUUAUAUUAUCCAGGUCAUGAGAUAGAACAAUGAUAACAAUUAUUUUAGCAGUUAAGAUGACUAAGAACACAUUCUCAUUUACUGAAAUGACCUGGGGAAUAGUUAAAGGGGAGAAUAAGGGGAAUGAAACAAUUGGAACAAUGCAUUAUCAGGAAUCCAGCAACCAAUAUCAGAGUAUAGAUUAUACAGCAUGGUUAACAUUAUGUAGAUUAUACAGCAUGGUUAACAUUAUGUAGAGUAAUA